UACGUAGGGGCCUAGCGUUGUCCGGAUUUAUUGGGCGUAAAGAGCUCGUAGGCGGUUUGGUUAGUCAGGUGUGAAAUCUCCACGCUCAACGUGGAGGGGCCACCUGAUACUGCCAUGACUUGAGUCCGGUAGGGGAGUGUGGAAUUCCCGGUGUAGCGGUGAAAUGCGCAGAUAUCGGGAGGAACACCAAUGGCGAAGGCAGCUCGCUGGGACGGUACUGACGCUGAGGCGCGAAAGCUAGGGGAGCAAACAGG
rnacentral:rRNA from 1 species